UAAAAGACAAAAUAGUUUACCAUUAAAAGAUUCGCUUAAGCUUCACUUUUAUCAACUCUUAUUCCGCGAUCCUUCCUAUUCUUGUUCUUUUCUUAGCUCGUCUCCGAUUUGUUUUAUGCCGUUGUCGCAGCAGAUUAGGUCAAACGUCGGGAGAGGAGAAAUGGUGCGUUUUAACGGGCGGUAAAGGCUUCGCCGCCGGCCGUCAUUUGGUUGAGGUGCUAAUCAAUUACCAAAUACCAAAUGUUCGUUGUUCGAAUCGCUGAUUUGAUUUAUAGCAUUGAUCUCGAAUCCUACGAGGAGAACCGAGUCCUCGGCGAAGGUUUAAGGCUUAUAGUAGCUUUGAAAGGAGUUGAGGUAGUUUUUCACAUGGCGUUUCAUCAUUCUGUUAAUCUUCAAGGUAAAGUAUAUAUAGUUUAUGAGAUUUAGAAUUUAUCCAAUUUUGUUGUUAUUAAAUAUUUUUGCAGCAAUCUAAAA